rnacentral:rRNA from 1 species
GGGGGGCCUACGGGAGGCAGCAGUGGGGAAUUUUGGACAAUGGGCGAAAGCCUGAUCCAGCAAUGCCGCGUGCAGGAUGAAGGCCUUCGGGUUGUAAACUGCUUUUGUACGGAACGAAAAAGCUCCUUCUAAUACAGGGGGCCCAUGACGGUACCGUAAGAAUAAGCACCGGCUAACUACGUGCCAGCAGCCGCGGUAAUACGUAGGGUGCGAGCGUUAAUCGGAAUUACUGGGCGUAAAGCGUGCGCAGGCGGUUAUGUAAGACAGAUGUGAAAUCCCCGGGCUCAACCUGGGAACUGCAUUUGUGACUGCAUGGCUAGAGUACGGUAGAGGGGGAUGGAAUUCCGCGUGUAGCAGUGAAAUGCGUAGAUAUGCGGAGGAACACCGAUGGCGAAGGCAAUCCCCUGGACCUGUACUGACGCUCAUGCACGAAAGCGUGGGGAGCAAACAGGAUUAGAUACCCUGGUAGUCCACGCCCUAAACGAUGUCAAC